UGUCAUUAUAUUGUAUAAAUGUACAAAUAAAAUUAAAUUAAAGAAAAGAACUGGAAUUGCUGACAAGAUAUACCAUAUCUAAAGGGGCAAUUAGAACAUCUCCAAAAGUGAACUAUGGCUCCAGAACAGAAGUGCACACCAGCCUAUGUUUUAGGCCAAGGUGAAGUAAUUCAAUUUCAGCCACCAUUCACUGAUAAGCUCAGAUGCUGGGAUCUGAUCUGAAUCUUGUGACUUUAUGUGUGGAAUCUAUUCCUGGUAUAGUGAUGCUAGAAUUUUUAAUGUGUAGCUAAUGUGGCAUCUGAAUGUAUUAUAAAACUAAAAACUAAGAACUCAAAACCUUGAUAAUGAAUUGAUUUUCUAUAUCAUUAACCCCAAACAUGAUGGCAUAUAGUGGGUAUUUGAUAAUUAUUUCUCUAAAUCAAACUGAAUUUGGUGUUUGGAGAUUCUACAGUGUGUAUUGUGAAAUAGAGGAAAUACAGAUUCAGAUCAAGGAUAUUAAAAUUAAAAUGUUAAUUAUAGUCCCUCAGAAAAGGUUCUUUUAGUACAUUAUGAUUGCUAUUCUUAACAUAGACACAAGGUGUGGGCAGUGCUGUUUGUCUUUUGUCUAUUGUUGAACCUCAAAGAAUGAAGUCAGUAGGGUUGAAGUGCUAGUUCAAUGUCACAGCUGAGAGGAGCUUGGAAAAACCAUUAACUACUCAUGAAUUCCUCUGCUGUCUAAUCAAAGGACAGAAUUCCUCUGCUUUCUCUAAGUCCCCUAUAGCAACAAGUAUCAUUAGCAUCUUCUGUUGCCCCUGCACAAAGCCUCCCUCUAAUCAGCCUGGCCUCAUACUGAGCUCAGCCCACCCUAAAGGAUUCCAUUCCUUCAAUUUCUACUUCUGGUUUUACUUCUCUCUCCUACAGUCCAGAAUUUUUUUGCAGCCUUCAAAGCCAAGCUUUAUGUUUCCUGAAGGGUGACUCUGUAGUUCUAAUGGCAGAAUUCUGAACACUUAGUGGUUGUCUCAAGGUGCUGAGCACCUUUUUUUCCCAACAAUGUUUGGGAAAUUUAUCUUACAUCUUUUGUAUUCUCACAGCCUAGAGAACUUGGUGAGAGCUCAGUAAAUAUCAGUCUGAUUGCUCUUAAUAUUGGGUAACAUAAUCUGUGCUCUUAAUACUGGAUAACAUAUGCUGCACAUUUUAAUUAUAAUACUGUGGUCUACAGUGGGAGCUCCAAGGCUUAGGUGAUAUGUAGUGUCAGAAAUUUUAUUAAGACCUAUGUAUUCCUUGAGUAUUCCUUUGUACAAACAAUAUAAAAUAGGACAUAUGGUUAUAUAUUGUUAGUCCUCAUUGCUACGAGAGUUGGAACACACAAUCUCUAAGUGCCUUUCCAUGUUUCUGAGUGUCUAAUUAUAGGAUAGUCUGUACAUCAUUCAUAGGACACAGUGCAAAACUCACCCUGGAUGAUUAAAUGAUUCUGGGAGUAGUGUUUAUGUUGUUUUAUUAAUGAUAUGGAAGGCCUGGGUUGGAAGAUAGAAUCUAGAGACCAGGGUAGGUUCAUAGAAGAAUCACUGAAACUUGUAGAACAGGCCUGGAAGAAGGGUUGAGAUUCCAAGUUAACAGGGGACCUACCAGAAGAAGAUCUCCUGAUUUUAAAAAGCGCAAGUAUCAGGUAGCAGGUCCCUCAUAAAAUGGGCUGGAGCUUGGGGCAGAUUUAUGAAUGUGACAUGAUGCAUAUGGAGGAUACAAGAGGAAAAGUUGGGAAUCAUUUAGUGAAAUGAGUGAACAUGGAAAUAAAUUGUGAGAUUCAAUUCUUUAUUACAUUCUAUGGUGAAAGCCAGACCUGUAGCAAUUCUGAGCAGAGGUAGAGACAAAGCACUGCUAGUUUGGGGCUUUUUGUGAGUACCAGAUGACCAUCCUAGAAUGAGAAACUGAUCUAGCUGAAUCUCUAAGGUGUUAGUAACCUCACUCUGAAGGUUGCUGAAAAGGAGGGAUAGGGAACCAGGCUGAUAGCUGUAAUCUAUUACCUGCCUAGAGGGACAAAAUACAUUUGAAUUUAGUAGUACUUGAAUGUGUCUUUGAAGAUGAGUUAAUAUUUAUACAAAGCAGACUUUGAUGGAACCACGUGUGAUUGCACAAGAGAUGGAAUGUGCUCAGAGAUGGGAGGGCAGGUCAGAAUAUAAAAAGAAGUUAUUAUGAUAUGAGUUUCUUUAUAAAUCACAGAUUUUUCUUCCCAGGCAUAUUUUAUCAGCUGAUUCUGUCAUAACCUGAAGUUAUUAUUCUGCUUUAUUUCUUUCUAAUGCACACACAGUGUGUUAUUCAGUUGAUUUCUUCCAUAAUCUCCUUGCUUAUAAAAAUGUCUCCUUUUGCCUCUUUUCAUGGUGAAACAUGUAAUUUUUUGACUCUAAAAUAAAGAGAUAUAAUAGUUUCUUAUGUCUAAAGUUCAUGGAAAAUGAACUCAUAUAUUUUAAAUCCCCUGUGUUUUAAAUUUCUUAUAUUCUAGUUUUACAUUCUUGUCUUUCGUGCCAGAUAUUAUUUCUCCCUUCUAGUCUUUUCUUCAUCUCUAAAAGCUUUCUUAAAAAUUCUUCCCAGAAAAUAAAUACAUAGUGCUAGGUAGGAGUCCUUGUAUGAGCUGUUCGCAUCAGUAUUUACCUCCUUAUAUACUAGAUAAAUACAUAUGGUUUUAUAUCCUAAUAUAUUGUGGAGUUAGGAAGGCUCACCAGGGUAAUGGUGGUAGGAAAAGCUAUGUGUAUGCAUAUAUAUAUAUAUAUAAUGAGUAUAUUUACAAGCUGUGAUCAAAACUAUGGUGAAUGCUAAUGCCAACAACCACCAAUGGAAAGGCAGGCUCACAAAAUCAUCACAAUAUAUUUUCAUACAACUUAUUCCUUGCAUCUAAGCAACAUGUGACUUCUGCCUCUUCUGCAAAGUCAAAAGACCAUGAAAGAUGAACACUGUGAAUUGAUUCAGGACAUCGAGGCACUCAGGAUUGUGCAACUAAAGAUACUCACAGAGAGAACUUCCAGAACUGCUUCAGAAAGUGCUCCUCGAACAGGAAAGAUGCAGUACUUUACAAUUUGCUCAAACUGGCACAGACAGAGAAAAGACAUGACAUCUUCCUUUGGAAUUAAAUUCCCUCAGGAAAAAAACCUGAAGAUUUGGGGAUUUGAUUUUGUGAGUGAAUAAAGGUGGUUGGUGGACUGAGGUCAUGAACUCCCCAAGAAGCUUUAGAAGGACGUGAAUGAGGAUAAAUUGCUUCCCUUUCCUUCUGGCUCCACAUUACUCUUGCCUCAGCUUUUGAAAUGAGAUGCAUAUGGAAACAAUUGCUCCUGGAUCAUUUCCUCUCCUCUCCAGAUGCCUCAUGGGUGGCCUUGCCACCCCUCAUGAUCAUAGUCCUCCAAAUUUAGAGGUGCGAGUCAUGAAAGAUUUCCAUCUAUUCCAUUCCAUCGGGGUCCUUUUUCAAAGAAGAAAGUCACUAUCUGCAACCCACACCUGGGAAGAUAAAUCUACCUCUCAGAAGUGCAAAUGAACCCAAUCACAUUUCUAAGUGGAGAAAACCAUUGUGAUAUGCUGGAAAGGCUAAUAAUGUGUGGUAUGAUAUUCUCUUAUGAAGCUAAGAAGUAUCAGAGAACCACAGCUCCCAGUCACCCACACAAUCAAAAGUAAACAACAAAUAUUGUACAGUAUACUCUGUUGCUAUGCUGUUCCAUUGGUUAAGUAUAUUAAAUGUAUUAUUUAUUUGGAUGUAACACCAUCAUAACUCCAGGAGGAUCCAUGUUCCCAAUUGCCUUUUCUCAUCUCUUAUAACAUAGAUGUCAUUCAUUUCACUAUUCUUAAUAAUCACUGAAUUACUAUUGAAAGAAAUUGU